GACGAACGCUGGCGGCGUGCCUAAUACAUGCAAGUAGAACGCUGAAGGAGGAGCUUGCUUCUCUGGAUGAGUUGCGAACGGGUGAGUAACGCGUAGGUAACCUGCCUGGUAGCGGGGGAUAACUAUUGGAAACGAUAGCUAAUACCGCAUAAGAGUGGAUGUUGCAUGACAUUUGCUUAAAAGGUGCACUUGCAUCACUACCAGAUGGACCUGCGUUGUAUUAGCUAGUUGGUGGGGUAAGGGCUCACCAAGGCGACGAUACAUAGCCGACCUGAGAGGGUGAUCGGCCACACUGGGACUGAGACACGGCCCAGACUCCUACGGGAGGCAGCAGUAGGGAAUCUUCGGCAAUGGACGGAAGUCUGACCGAGCAACGCCGCGUGAGUGAAGAAAGUUUUCGGAUCGUAAAGCUCUGUUGUAAGAGAAGAACGAGUGUGAGAGUGGAAAGUUCACACUGUGACGGUAUCUUACCAGAAAGGGACGGCUAACUACGUGCCAGCAGCCGCGGUAAUACGUAGGUCUCGAGCGUUGUCCGGAUUUAUUGGGCGUAAAGCGAGCGCAGGCGGUUAGAUAAGUCUGAAGUUAAAGGCUGUGGCUUAACCAUAGUAGGCUUUGGAAACUGUUUAACUUGAGUGCAAGAGGGGAGAGUGGAAUUCCAUGUGUAGCGGUGAAAUGCGUAGAUAUAUGGAGGAACACCGGUGGCGAAAGCGGCUCUCUGGCUUGUAACUGACGCUGAGGCUCGAAAGCGUGGGGAGCAAACAGG
rnacentral:rRNA from 1 species